AACUUAGGCUCUUACAUAAAAAAAUCAAAAUAUAAAGUUCAGCAUGUUUUCAGUAGUUUUACUAAGAUCAAGUCAGAAACGAAAUGAUUUUUUUAAAUUUCCCUGAGCAUGGACUAAAGACCCAAGUCUGCCCCAAGUAGGGACAUGCUAUCUUCUAUCUGUUCCUGUGCCAAUUAAUGACAAUUCUAUAUCCCCCCUGCACCAAUAUUAUCAGGCCAGGCCUUUUGCUACUUUAUCAUUUGGGGCUUCCUAUCACUAAAGUUCUUUGGUUAUUAGAUAACUUUGUUAUACUACUUAUGGCAGGCCACAACCGCCACCACAGAGUAGGAAAGGUCAUAAAAACAGUAAUGUUUAAGUCUGAAAAUUAAAAUAUUUCAAAUUAAGUUGCUAAAUAUUUCUACCCAAUUUUUUUAGAGAAAACCAAAGCACUGAAAUUAAAAAAAAAAUUUUAAUAGGAGCAGUUCCCCUCCCUGUAAUUAGUUUCAAGGGUAGGAGUAGCUUAUGAUGAAAUGAGUCAACGAGCAGAUUUUAAGCUUAGAGUUCAUUUCAAAAAUCUUUUAUUGGCAUAAAGAUUAGAAUGUUUUAGGGGCUG
rnacentral:lncRNA from 1 species